rnacentral:rRNA from 1 species
UCUCUUAAUUGGUGACUUGUAUGAAAGAUUGGAUGAGAUAUAAACUGUCUCUAAUUGAUUUAUAAAAAUUAAUUUUUUAGUAAAAAAGCUAAAAUAAUUUUAAAAGACGAGAAGACCCUAUAGAGUUUAAUAUUUUAUUUAAUAGUUAUUAAUAUAUAUAUAAUUUUAAAAUUAAAAUUAAAUAAAUUAUUUUGUUGGGGUGAUAAAAAAAUUAAAUUAACUUUUUUUGAUUAUAAACAUUAAUUUAUGAUUAAAUGAUCCAUUUAUAGUGAUUAAAAGAAAAAAUUACCUUAGGGAUAACAGCGUAAUUUUUUUUUUUAGUCCAAA